GAUUAUCUACAAAUCUUACAGUUGCGUAAGCAGGGCAUAGGAUCACAAGAUGCAACAAGGAAAGAUCUUGGAUUAUUGGAAAAGCUACGCUAGGGAU
rnacentral:rRNA from 11 species